GUCAGAAGGACAUGGGGAAGGAAUUUUACCAAUAUCAGAAGGAGCAGGACUGUCAGGAGCACAUUGUGAAGGACUUGGUUCUAUGUCAGCAGGAAUCCUGGUGUCAGCAGCACAGGUGGAAUGAGUUGGCUCAACAUCAGCAGGAGCACCCCUGUCAGGAGCAAGUUGUGAAGGAGUUGGUUCUAUGUCAGCAGGAGCCCUGCUGUCAGCAGCACAGGUGGAAUGAGUUGGCUCAAUGACUGCAGGAUCCUCACAGUCAGGAGCACACUGGGAAGUAGUUGGCUCAACAUCAGCAGGAGCCCCAUUGACAGCAGCACAGGUGGAAUGAGUUGGCUCAAUGACUGCAGGAUCCUCACAGUCAGGAGCACACUGGGAAGAAGUAGUUGGCUCAUCAGCAGCAGGAGCCCCAUUGACAGCAGCACAGGUGGAAGAAUUUGGCUCAAAUUCAGCAGGAGCCCUGCUGUCAGCAGCACAGAUGGAAUGAGUUGGCUCAAUGUCACCAGGAGCCUCAAGCACAUGAAUUCUAUGCUUCCGAGGAAAGGGACGGAAAAUAGGUGGUUUAUUUCCUCGCACCUAUAAGGAAAAUUGGCAAUGUUACUUUUGAUUUAAAGUUUCACUGAUUUUAUUCAUUUUAUCACCUGUCUGCUAAUGUCAGAAUCUUGAUUUACA
rnacentral:lncRNA from 1 species